AGCCUGAACGCUGGCGGCGUGGCUAAGACAUGCAAGUCGCACGGAUGUAGCAAUACAUUAGUGGCGAACGGGUGAGUAAUAAAUCGCUAACGUACCCUGGGCUCUGGGAUAGCCGGUUGAAAGAUCGGGUAAUACCAGAUGAUACCUUCCUACCGCAUGGUGGGAAAUUCAAAGCUCCGGCGG
rnacentral:rRNA from 1 species